rnacentral:rRNA from 1 species
GGUAAUACGGAGGGUGCAAGCGUUAAUCGGAAUUACUGGGCGUAAAGCGCACGCAGGCGGUCUGUCAAGUCGGAUGUGAAAUCCCCGGGCUCAACCUGGGAACUGCAUUCGAAACUGGCAGGCUAGAGUCUUGUAGAGGGGGGUAGAAUUCCAGGUGUAGCGGUGAAAUGCGUAGAGAUCUGGAGGAAUACCGGUGGCGAAGGCGGCCCCCUGGACAAAGACUGACGCUCAGGUGCGAAAGCGUGGGGAGCAAACAGGAUUAGAUACCCUGGUAGUCCACGCCGUAAACGAUGUCGAUUUGGAGGUUGUGCCCUUGAGGCGUGGCUUCCGGAGCUAACGCGUUAAAUCGACCGCCUGGGGAGUACGGCCGCAAGGUUAAAACUCAAAUGAAUUGACGGGGGCCCGCACAAGCGGUGGAGCAUGUGGUUUAAUUCGAUGCAACGCGAAGAACCUUACCUGGUCUUGACAUCCACAGAACUUUCCAGAGAUGGAUUGGUGCCUUCGGGAACUGUGAGACAGGUGCUGCAUGGCUGUCGUCAGCUCGUGUUGUGAAAUGUUGGGUUAAGUCCCGCAACGAGCGCAACCCUUAUCC